rnacentral:lncRNA from 1 species
UUCAACCAAUCAAGAAGCACAAUAAAUCUAUAAUAAAUCCAGAAUUUGUUAUUGUUCUUCAUAAGUUCACAAAAUAAAGAACUACGAUCUAUCUUUCUUUCACGUGAAAGAAGAAAAAAAUAGAAAAUAGAAAAAUCUCUCUUCUACACUUAGACCACCACCACCCUCAAAUUCCUCCGGCCACCUUCGUCCUCAACCCGCACUUUCUCCCGCCGCAACACUCAAACCACCUAUCUCCGUCAACUCCCCCGACCACUGCUUUUCUUUAACUUUCCUCACGACACCUGUACCUCUUUCUUCUCCCUCACCAUGACUCCCCACUUCCUCGCAACCACCAUCAACUUAAACCUUCAACUUUCACCAAAAUUACUCCUUCCUUCUUCCUCAACCCAAAACCUUUUACCUCGAAACCUAUACACAACAACACCAAACACAACCUGUAAACAACAAUAACUCAGCAACAGAAAACAAAAAGCAACAAUAGAGAACAAAAAGCGACACCAUUAUCAGACCAACACCAUACAAUCUCCAAGUUUCACUACCACCACACCAAAUCACAACUCAAAAAAUGACAACAUCACAAAUCUGAAAAGAAACAAAAUAUAAAAAAGAAGACGAAAAUAAUUUUUUUCUUCAGAUUUAAUCACUUUCAAC